rnacentral:lncRNA from 1 species
GGCUACAGGGGCUGCAGAAACUUAUCAACGAUUCGGUUUUGUUCCUGGCCGCCUACGAUCUGCGGCAGGGACAAGAGGUGCUGGCGCGGCUGCAGGCGGCCCUGGCCAAGCGGCGUCAGGAGCUGCAGCCUAAGAAGCGUUUCGCUUUCAAGACUCGCAGGAAGGAUGUCGCUUCAGCCACCAAAGUAGACUCGGUUCCCAGGCUAGGGGUCUAAUCGGAGCUGUAGCCACCGCCCUACGCCAGAGCCACAGCAACGCGGGAUCCGAGCCGCGUCUGCAACCUACACCACUGCUCAAAGCAACGCCGGAUCCUUAACCCAUUGAGCAAGGCCAGGGAUCUAACCCGAAACCUCAUGGUUCCUAGUCGGAUUCAUUAAUCACUGCGCCACAACGGGAACUCCGACACCAUUUUUCAAGUGAAGAAAACAAAUAAGUUGCCCAAAGUUCACACAGCCCUAAUGGUGGACUGGGAUUUGAAACCAGGUGUCCUGGCUUCAGAGCCCACCUUCUUAACCACUACAAGAUACUGAUUUGGAAUAGUGUUGAUUUGGAAAGAAAGCUUCCUAAAUUAAAGAGGGCAAAUUUGCUUUCCUUAAAUUCUCAGGCGUAAUAGUGCUACGUAUCUAUCUACUCAUACAAAAAGGAUUGGGGCAAGCAUCUGGCCAAGUCUUAAUUUUUCGACUCAUUUUGCUAUAAUCCUCUACUGUUAAAUAAUUUGGCUUUCUGAUCUCUUCACUACCACCCAUUAUUCUUAAAUGGAAGGUUGUAAGAUUUUCAAAAAGCUUUUAGGGGUCUCAUGGCUUUGUAACUGCAGAUGGACUUUUUAUUUAAUAAUUACCACAAGUAUUAAGGUGCUUAUACCUCAGGUAUUUAUAUUUUUAGUAUUUAUAUAUUUUACUUAGUUCCAAAAAAGGAUUUAAAGUCAUAUCUAGGACAUGUGAAAUGUAACAAGAUAACAAAAGCAAAUGACAAGGAGGAAGGAGGGUAGAGUUACAAAUUGGAAGAAGUGAGGCCAAUAAAAACAGCCUACCAAACUCUGUUCCUUAGCUGGAGGUGAAUCCAGAUCCCCACCCCCCUCAAUUAUUAGCUAACUCCAAAAGGGAUCCUAAUCAGUUUCACAAUUUGCAACAUCCACAAAGAAGAGGGGGGAAAAACAUCCCUGAGGAGAAUUAAUCCUAUGAUAAAAAGAGAUAACAUACUAGAAACUUUGACCCCAACCUAGAGCUAUGCCCUAGAGACUGAUAGUUUAACACAAGUGCACUUAAGAAUAUACCAUGCAGGUUGUGAUUCAAGAACCCAACAUAGUGUCCAUGAGGAUGCUGGUUCGGUCCCUGGCCGUGCUCAGUGGGUUAAGGAUCUGGUGCUGCUGCCAGCUUCGGCAUAGGUUGCAGAUG